rnacentral:rRNA from 1 species
CCUACGGGAGGCUGCAGUGGGGAAUUUUGGACAAUGGACGCAAGUCUGAUCCAGCCAUUCCGCGUGCAGGACGAAGGCCUUCGGGUUGUAAACUGCUUUUGUACGGAACGAAAAAGCUCUUACUAAUACUAGGAGUCCAUGACGGUACCGUAAGAAUAAGCACCGGCUAACUACGUGCCAGCAGCCGCGGUAAUACGUAGGGUGCAAGCGUUAAUCGGAAUUACUGGGCGUAAAGCGUGCGCAGGCGGUUAUAUAAGACAGAUGUGAAAUCCCCGGGCUCAACCUGGGAACUGCAUUUGUGACUGUAUAGCUAGAGUACGGCAGAGGGGGAUGGAAUUCCGCGUGUAGCAGUGAAAUGCGUAGAUAUGCGGAGGAACACCGAUGGCGAAGGCAAUCCCCUGGGCCUGUACUGACGCUCAUGCACGAAAGCGUGGGGAGCAAACAGGAUUAGAUACCCGAGUAGUC